CUCGUCGAGUCCGCUUCUCACGCUAACCAUUGGCCGUCACCACUGAGAUCCGGAGCCUACUCUCGCAGCUGCCACCAGCUCGUCACCGUAUCUGUUGAUCUCCUCCACCGCUUCCAACCAGGAGGCAACAUGUCGUCGCUUGCCGCUGUGAGAGCAGAUAACUUCUAUUACCCGCCGGAAUGGAGCCCAAAGAAGGGUGGGUUGAACAAGUUCCACAGGCAGCAUGCGCUGCGGGGGUAGGCGAUGAAGCUUGACCAAGGCAUCCUGAUCAUAAGGCACCUUUCGGCGAGCAUGGUUGUGGGCAGGCAUAAAGUUGGAGUGACCCGUCCCGUAGCAUUUAAUGCUAUGUGACGGACUCGCAAUCGAGCGUGAUAGCGCUCGGCAGACGUGACAGGGCCUGUAGAGCAACUAAGGUAGAUUGGGUGUGCAUGCCAUCCGUAAUGAUGACCUAGGAGUAGGUUGGCUUCGUCAGGAGUGGACUUACUACAGAGUUUGGCAUGGUCCGUUUGUAUGUACUACUUUUUCCCUGUUAUAUAAAGGGAGAGGGCCCGACUUGUAAAAAGAGACAUUCUGAAACAAGUUCAUCUAAUCUAUAAGAAAAUACAUAGGGUAUAGGACUAUUAUCCCACAGGAGGCCUAGACCUGAAUAAAUCCCACCAUAAAGAAACAUCGAUCAAUGUGCACAUCAUCCAGUACACCCCGGAUUCAUUGUUAGGGAUCAUCCCCGAUAGUUGGUGCGCCAAGUAAGGGCGCAUUUUUCGUGUUUCUUUAGGUAUUGAGACCAUGGUUGGACUACCCAUGUCCAGAUUUGUGAUGGCCAUGGAGUCCCGUUUCGAUGACCCCAACCGUCGUGAGGUUUUCGUCAUGGAGUACGACUCAUACGAGCAUGGUAUGCUCCGAGCAUGGGACAUCGAGACGGAGUCCGAGAAUUUAGAGAUCGAACGUGAAGUCUGCAUGGCGGACCAUGGGACGGGGGGCAAUAGAGAUGCUCGUGCCUCGGGAACCAGAGGUGAGCCCCAAGCCAUUGGCCAAGAGGGAAACCAACCUGGUGCCAGGCAUGGAGGUGGUCCUAUACCGCCCCAGUGACUACAACGCCACCCGAAGGAGCGCCUGUGGAGGUUGAGCCCUCGGCGGUGAAGUCUUUAAGGCCGUCGUGCCACACCGCAGACUCGCACCGUACGCGC